UACGGAGGGUGCGAGCGUUGUCCGGAAUCACUGGGCGUAAAGGGCGCGUAGGCGGCCUGAUAAGUAGGGGGUGAAAUCCUGCGGCUUAACCGCAGGGCUGCCUUCUAGACUGUCAGGCUAGAGCACAGUAGAGGCAGGUGGAAUUCCUGGUGUAGCGGUGAAAUGCGCAGAUAUCAGGAGGAACACCGGUGGCGAAGGCGGGUCUCUGGGCCGAUACUGACGCUGAGGAGCGAAAGCGUGGGGAGCGAACAGG
rnacentral:rRNA from 1 species